rnacentral:rRNA from 1 species
GACGUGACUUCAGAGUUUGAUCCUGGCUCAGGACGAACGCUGGCGGCGUGCUUAACACAUGCAAGUCGAACGAUGACGGUGGUGCUUGCACUACCUGAUUAGUGGCGAACGGGUGAGUAACACGUGAGUAACCUGCCCUUCACUUCGGGAUAACCUCGGGAAAUCGUGGCUGAUACCGGAUAUGAGCUCCUUCCGCAUGGUGGGGGUUGGAAAGAUUUAUCGGUGAAGGAUGGACUCGCGGCCUAUCAGUUUGUUGGUGAGGUAAUGGCUCACCAAGACGAUGACGGGUAGCCGGCCUGAGAGGGCGACCGGCCACACUGGGACUGAGACACGGCCCAG